rnacentral:rRNA from 1 species
AACGGGUGAGUAACACGUGGGUAACCUGCCCAUCAGAAGGGGAUAACACUUGGAAACAGGUGCUAAUACCGUAUAACAAUCGAAACCGCAUGGUUUCGUUUUGAAAGGCGCUUUACGGUGCCGCUGAUGGAUGGACCCGCGGUGCAUUAGCUAGUUGGUGAGGUAACGGCUCACCAAGGCCACGAUGCAUAGCCGACCUGAGAGGGUGAUCG